GCGCCCGUGGCUUAGUAAGAUAGAGCACUGGUUUCCUAAAUCAGGGGUCGCAGGUUUGAAUACUGCCGGGCGUA
rnacentral:tRNA from 1 species